AUACGUAGGGGGCGAGCGUUGUCCGGAAUUACUGGGCGUAAAGGGCGCGUAGGCGGCCCAAAAAGUCAGAUGUGAAAAACCUGGGCUUAACCGAGGUCUUGCAUUUGAAACUGUUGGGCUUGAGGGCAGGAGAGGGAAGCGGAAUUCCCAGUGUAGCGGUGAAAUGCGUAGAUAUUGGGAGGAACACCAGUGGCGAAGGCGGCUUUCUGGACUGCACCUGACGCUGAGGCGCGAAAGCCAGGGGAGCGAACGGGAUUAGAUACCCCGGUAGUCCUGGCCGUAAACGAUGGAUACUAGGUGUGGGAGGUAUCGACCCCUUCCGUGCCGUAGCCAACGCACUAAGUAUCCCGCCUGGGGAGUACGGCCGCAAGGCUGAA
rnacentral:rRNA from 1 species